rnacentral:rRNA from 1 species
UACGGAAUGUGCAAACGUUAUUCGGAAUCACUGGGCUUAAAGAGUCCGUAGGCGGCAUGUUAGGUGAGGUGUGAAAUCCCCCGGCUCAACCGAGGAAUUGCGCUUCAAACCGGCGUGCUUGAGGAAGAUAGAGGUGGGCGGAACUGAUGGUGGAGCGGUGAAAUGCGUUGAUAUCAGGAAGAACACCAGUGGCGAAGGCGGCUCACUGGUCCGGUACUGACGCUGAGGUGCGAAAGCGUGGGGAGCAAACAGG